CGGGGUGCAGCAGGCGCGAAAACUCUACAAUGCAGGCAACUGCGAUAGGGGAACAUCGAGUGAUACUCAUAUUGGGUGUCUGUCCUUCCGUCUAAAAAACGGGAGUUAGCAAGGGCCGGGCAAGACCGGUGCCAGCCGCCGCGGUAAUACCGGCGGCUCGAGUGGUGGCCGAUAUUAUUGAGUCUAAAGGGUCCGUAGCCGGCUUGGCAAGUCUCUUGGGAAAUCCGGCGGCUUAACCGUCGGUCGUCCGGGAGAUACUACUUUGCUUGGGACUGGGAGAGGCGUGAGGUACUCAGGGGGUAGGAGUGAAAUCCUGUAAUCCUUUGGGGACCACCGGUGGCGAAGGCGUCACGCCAGAACAGGUCCGACGGUGAGGGACGAAAGCUAGGGGCACGAACCGGAUUAGAUACCCGGGUAGUCCUAGCCGUAAACGAUGCUCGCUAGGUGUCACGACAAUCGUGAAUUGUCGUGGUGCCGUAGGGAAGCCGUGAAGCGAGCCACUUGGGAAGUACGACCGCAAGGUUGAAACUUAAAGGAAUUGCGGGGGAGCACAAGGGCGAAUCGCG
rnacentral:rRNA from 1 species